CUACGGGGGGCAGCAGUGGGGAAUAUUGCACAAUGGAGGAAACUCUGAUGCAGCAACGCCGCGUGGAGGAUGACACUUUUCGGAGCGUAAACUCCUUUUAUAUAGGAAGAAGAUGACGGUACUAUAUGAAUAAGCGCCGGCUAACUCCGUGCCAGCAGCCGCGGUAAUACGGAGGGCGCAAGCGUUACUCGGAAUCACUGGGCGUAAAGAGCGUGUAGGCGGAUUAAAAAGUCAGAAGUGAAAUCCUAUAGCUUAACUAUAGAACUGCUUCUGAAACUCUUAAUCUAGAAUAUGGGAGAGGUAGAUGGAAUUUCUGGUGUAGGAGUAAAAUCCGUAGAGAUCAGAAGGAAUACCGAUUGCGAAGGCGAUCUACUAGAACAUUAUUGACGCUGAGACGCGAAAGAGUGGGGAGCAAACAGGAUUAGAUACCCGAGUAGUC
rnacentral:rRNA from 1 species